UACAGUCAAAUCCCAAAGAAAAUGCCAUGUCUCCUUUGAUUACUGAAGUUAAGCAGUGUUGAGCAUGGUCAGUAAUUAGAUGGGGGACUACUUGGGAACACUGGGUACUGUAAG